UUGAAUCAAUAUUUAAGUUUCAGGCCUGUUGUACCCAUGGGCGUACUGGGCGGGGGGGGGGGGCGGCAGCCCCCCCAGUUUGUUGGGCAGUCGGGCAAUAUUCGCUGAAAAGUCGGGCAAUUUUGGUGUAUUAAAAAAAGGAAUGAGACAAAUUCUGUAAAUUUUGUGGUCAAUUUUGUGAUGUUUCCAAAAUUUUUGUUAGGUUCCGGAAAAUUUUGGUAUGUCCGGAAAAAAUUUUUGACCCCUAAAAUGGUACACUGACCGAAAUUUUUUUGGCGACUGG